UCCGAGAUAGUUUAACGGUUAGAAUUGGCGUUUGUCGCAUGCCAGAUCGGGGUUCGAUUCCCCGUCUCGGAG
rnacentral:tRNA from 1 species